GGGUGCCAUGCGCCUGGAGCUUCACAUUUUCUGCCUCCGCCCACCGCGCCCGCCCGCCCGCCUUGGUCACGCCUCGGCCGGGAGCACCUGCCGAGCAGGCAGAAUGAAAGAGAUCUUCCAUCCAUUGGUUCACUCCUCAAAUGCUACAACAGUUGGAGCUGGGCCAUACUGAAGCCAGGAGCCAGAAACUUCAUUUGUGUCUCCCAUGUGGGUGGAAGGUACCCAAGUAUUUGGACCAUCUUCUACUGCCUUCCCAGCUUCAGGAGUAGAGAUGGCAGCACAGAUGAGAAAAUGCAAGAGGAAUUUGGAGCAGGCUGGCUUCAGGAAACGCAAACUGCCAUCAACUGCCCUCUACUCCAAAUCACCCUUCCUUUUAUUUAUUUUUUUCAAGAAACAGAAUACAAGGUAUGAUGACUGACACUUAUUUUUUCCCCAAAUAGAUGUAAUCGAUUACAUAGGAGGCAAAGAACUAAUGACAAAUUGCUAUCAGUGAGUAAAGAAAAGGAUCCCUUCCUGCAUCUUACCUAUGCUUAGGUAUAUUUCCUGUUGUCUUAAAAAUAAUGUCAGUGAUGUCCCCAAGUUGUCCGGAGUGUCCCGUAAGCGUGAUCAUUAGCAUCAUUGCACAAGACACCUGAUAACGGCCAAGCUCCAAGCCACCUAGAUUUCUUUAAGUGUUGGAUUCAUUUAAGAUCUAUUAGCAAUGCUGUUUACCAACCCUCCUGUCAACUGAUGCUUUGAACCUGCUGUAAAGUGAUCCCUGUGUCACCAGAUGCCACACUGAAGCUUAGGAAGUUAGCAUGAAGGUAACACUUCAUUAAAAGUGUGCAAUUUAUGGUUGAAUUACAAAUGUAAGAGAAAAGCAGUGGAACAGACUCAGAGAGAAGACCUUUAUACUUUACAUCAAAGCCCCACUAGGGAUUUUUUAAAAAAAACUUUACCCUUCAGUGGUUCAUUGAAUCUCUUCAUUAAAGAAUAAAAUGGGGUCUACCAGCAAGAUGUUCUCAACAAAAUCUGCUGACAGGGAGAACAUAAGGAAGCUGUCCCCUGCAAUGCGUGGCAUUUUAAAAGCUCAAGAGUGCUUGCAAGAAUACUAAAUUGUGCAUGUGUAAUGAACUGGACAGAGCUGAAAUGUGACCAGUACCUCUUUAACCCACCACAACAAAAGAAAUUAUUGCCAUGGGGAGUAAAGAUAAACAGUCUAUAAAUAUGCCAACCUGAAGCCUAAAUAAAAACUAAGCAGAUCUUGGUUCAUAUUUUUCAAAAAAUCAACUUGCAAUAUAUCAAAGAAUUUUAAAAUUUUGUCUCUAUUCUUGUUUUUUGUUAAUAAAAGAGGUAAUUUCAGAAUUUACUAUAAAUGCCACAUCUUUCCUUGAGUGAGUACCUUUGAUCAUUAGCAUGGUUGAAAUUAGUUAAUAUGAUAGUGGACCAGACUUUCUGCAUUUGCCAAAGCCACUGAAUGUUUUUGUCUGGGCUCUAAGUUUAGACAUAAAAUUGAGCCCUAAAAUGAACAGGCAGAGAAACAGUAGAUAGUGCAGUAUAUGAGGAAAUGAAGGAAGCUGGGAUGUUGGGUAGCACCCAGCCGCUGGCCUACAUCCAU